ACCAAACUCGAAACGCAGUAUGGCAUUUUGCUAAAUACUCGUGAAUUACGGACAAGGCUAAACAAUCUCACCAAAAAUAUCGUAUUGAAAGAACAAACAUGGGGACAGGUGGAGAGAGCCCAUUGCUAUGGCAAUACUACAACAAAGUCCACCAGAUUCUUGGUACAUAUAAAUCUAUAAAUUACAAAGAGCAGAUGGACGAGAGCGCAGAGCAUUGGGUCGUCGACGAUCCGGAUUCGUGCCAGUAGAGUGCUUAUAUAUAGAGACUGAAGAGUUAGUUAUACCCCAGGUGCCCGAAAAUCAGCCCAUUUCUUCGGCAUCCACCGCACAGCUUCCAUCUUCGACAUACUCUACUUCGCCUUCAUCUCCAUCUUUCUCAAUGCCUCCAUCUACGGCUUCCGUAGAUAAAUCGCUAUCACCGGGUAAUCUGGCAGGACCAAGCUCAGCUAAAAAGAAAAAAACAGACACCGACAUUUUGGAAGUUGUAUAA